UCCCUAGAGGACUAGUGGUUAGGCUUUGGUGCUCUCACCGCCGCAGCCCGGGUUCGAUUCCCAAACAGGGAA